AACUGGGGAGAAAUAUAAGCCGUAGGAAGACGUCCUGCUGCAUGAUUCGAGAUGGCUGUCUCUACCAGAACUGUUCUCCUUCUCUGCUUGGUCUUCACGGUGGUGGCCACGAUGCCACAUGAUUCUGUAGACGUGCCGCCACCAGCGCUGCCUAGCGGAGAUGUCAGCAACCAAGAGAGGAUACAGAAUGUAGUGGACGCCAAACUUCCCACAGAGGACUUGGAAGACCGCAGGAUACGCUUCCACCCCAUUAUCUUCUGAGCGAGCUGAUGGCAAAUGCAAGAACACAUGUUUCUUUUUCAUUCAAAGUUUUCUGUCUUAAGUAUCAAAAACUUGUAAAUACUGUUUGUGAACCUAUAUGAAGAGCUGUUAGCCCCCACCUUACAAACUAAUAUACAUUACAAACGAAUAAAUGAAUUUUAACAUUGAA